GAGUUUGAUCCUGGCUCAGAGCGAACGCUGGCGGCAUGCUUAACACAUGCAAGUCGCACGGUCAGCAAUGGCAGUGGCGGACGGGGUGAGUAACACGUAGGAAUCUAUCUCUGGGUGGGGGACAACAGUGGGAAACUACUGCUAAUACCGCAUGAUACCUGAGGGUCAAAGGCGUAAGUCGCCUGGAGAGGAGCCUGCGUCUGAUUAGCUUGUUGGUGGGGUAAAGCCUACCAAGGCUACGAUCAGUAGCUGGUCUGAGAGGAUGAUCAGCCACAUUGGGACUGAGACACGGCCCAAACUCCUACGGGAGGCAGCAGUGGGGAAUAUUGGACAAUGGGCGAAAGCCUGAUCCAGCAAUGCCGCGUGUGUGAAGAAGGUCUUCGGAUUGUAAAGCACUUUUGGCAGGGACGAUGAUGACGGUACCUGCAGAAUAAGCCCCGGCUAACUUCGUGCAGCAGCCGCGGUAAU
rnacentral:rRNA from 1 species